rnacentral:rRNA from 1 species
ACCUACCCUUGACAUGUCCAGAACCCUGCAGAGAUGCGGGGGUGCCCGAAAGGGAAUUGGAACACAGGUGCUGCAUGGCUGUCGUCAGCUCGUGUCGUGAGAUGUUGGGUUAAGUCCCGCAACGAGCGCAACCCUUAUCAUUAGUUGCUACGCAAGGGCACUCUAAUGAGACUGCCGGUGACAAACCGGAGGAAGGUGGGGAUGACGUCAAGUCCUCAUGGCCCUUAUGGGUAGGGCUUCACACGUCAUACAAUGGUCGGUACAGAGGGUUGCCAAGCCGCGAGGGGGAGCUAAUCUCAGAAAGCGCGUCGUAGUCCGGAUCGGAGUCUGCAACUCGACUCCGUGAAGUCGGAAUCGCUAGUAAUCGCGGAUCAGCAUGUCGCGGUGAAUACGUUCCCGGGUCUUGUACACACCGCCCGUCACACCAUGGGAGUGGGUUUCACCAGAAGCAGGUAGUCUAACCGUAAGGAGGGCGCUUGCCACGGUGAGAUUCAUGACUGGGGUG